rnacentral:rRNA from 1 species
CUGAGCGGAAGAUGGGAGCUUGCGUCCCCAAAGUUGGCGACGGACGGAUGAGUAACACGUGGGUAACCUGCCUGUAAGACUGGGAUAACUCCGGGAGACCGGGGCUAAUACCGGAUGGUUGUUUGAACCGCAUGGUUCAAACAUCAAAGGUGGCUUCGGCUACCACUUACAGAUGGACCGGCGGCGCAUUAGCUAGUUGGUGAGGUUACGGCUCACCACGGCAACGAUGUGUAGCCGACCUGAGAGGGUGAUCGGCCACACUGGGACUGAGACACGGCCCAGACUAAUACGGGAGGCAGCAGAAGGUAAUCUUCCGCAAUGGACGAAAGUCUGACGUAGCAACGCCGCGUGAGUGAUGAAGGUUUUCGGAUCGUAAAGCUCUGUUGUUAGAGGAAGAACAAGUACCGUUCGUUUAUGGCGGUACCUUGACGGAACCUAACCACAAAGCAACUGCUAACUACGUGCCAGCAGCCGCGGUAAUACGUAGGUGUCAAGCGUAAUCCGGAAUUAUUGCGCGUAAAGGGCUCGCAGGCGGUUUCUUAUGUCUGAUGUGAAAGCUCCCGGCUCAACCUGGAAGGGCAUUGGUAACUGGGAAACUUGAGUGCAGAAGAGGAGAGUGAAAUUCCACGUUUAGCGGUGAAAUGCGUGAGAGAUGUGAAGGAACGCAAGUGGCGAAGUCUCUUCUCUGGUCUGUACUGACGCUGA